rnacentral:rRNA from 2 species
CAAAGCUCCGAUUUUUUGAAGAGCGCAUCUAUUAGAUUAAAACCAAUCGGGUUCGCGCCCGUCAAUUGGUGACUCUGAAUAACUAUAGCUGAUCGCAUGGUCUUGAACCGGCGACGUGUCUAUCAAGUGUCUGCCUUAUCAACUUUCGAUGGUAGUUUAUGUGCCUACCAUGGUUGUAACGGGUAACGGAGAAUAAGGGUUCGACUCCGGAGAGGGAGCCUGAGAAACGGCUACCACAUCCAAGGAAGGCAGCAGGCGCGCAAAUUACCCACUCUCGGCAAGAGGAGGUAGUGACGAAAAAUAACGAGACCGUACUCUUUGAGGCCGGUUAUCGGAAUGGGUACAAUUUAAACCCGUUAACGAGGAUCUAUGAGAGGGCAAGUCUGGUGCCAGCAGCCGCGGUAAUUCCAGCUCUCAAAGUGUAUAUCGUCAUUGCUGCGGUUAAAAAGCUCGUAGUUGGAUCUGCGCCUCAGGACUUGGUCCGCCCACUGGGCGAGAACUAGGCUCCUGGGCUAGUUCUGCUGGUUUUCUCUACGUUGCCUUCAUCGGUCGCGUAGGGUGGCUAGCGAGUUUACUUUGAAAAAAUUAGAGUGCUUCACGCGAGCUUAUGUCUGAAUACUCGUGCAUGGAAUAAUAGAAUAGGAUCUCGGUUCUAUUUUGUUGGUUUUCUGAUCUGAGAUAAUGGUUAAGAGGGACGGACGGGGGCAUUCGUAUCGCUGCGUGAGAGGUGAAAUUCUUGGACCGUAGCGAGACGCCCGACUGCGAAAGCAUUUGCCAAGAAUGUCUUCAUUAAUCAAGAACGAAAGU